rnacentral:rRNA from 1 species
GGGCCGCACAAGCGGUGGAGCAUGUGGUUAUUCGACGCAACGCGAAGAACCUUACCGAGGGCUUGACACUCCCUGACCGCGUAUGAAAGUACGUUUUCACCCUCGGGUGACAGGGAGACAGGUGGUGCAUGGUUGUCGUCAGCUCGUGUCGUGAGAUGUUGGGUUAAGUCCCGCAACGAGCGCAACCCCUACGUUUAGUUGCUAACGCGUGAAGGCGAGCACUCUAGACGAACUGCCGUUGACAAAACGGAGGAAGGUGGGGAUGACGUCAAAUCAUCAUGCCCCUUAUGUUCUGGGCUACACACGUGCUACAAUGGCCGGUACAGACGGACGCAAAGCCGCGAGGUGGAGCAAAUCCUAAAAAGCCGGUCUCAGUUCGGAUUGCAGGCUGCAAUUCGCCUGCAUGAAGUCGGAAUCGCUAGUAAUCGCAGGUCAGCAUACUGCGGUGAAUACGUUCCCGGGCCUU